rnacentral:lncRNA from 1 species
UCGUGGCUAGUGUCCCCAGCGAGAUGGGAGGGCGUGUAGGGGCAGUUGCCUCCUCUUGAGAACCAUUGCUGCGGGUUGCCGUGCUCUCUGAACUUGUGCAGAGGACUCUCCAGGUGAAGGCUCAGCGCUCCAUCCAGCUGGAGACACCCUCGCUCCCCGGCACAGUCGGACCUUAGGAUCGGAGGCUUUUAACAUCUCCACAUCAUGAGAUUGGAAACCUUUAGGUCUUUUCUUCCAAACAUGCUCCAAAUCCACCGAGCCUGUUGACCAGGGCCAGCCAGGCAGAGGGCUGGGUUCGCUCAACGAGGCUCCUCUCGCCCGUCCUGGAGCUUCAGGCCUCUUUCCGUUGCAGAGAAGUUUUAUGGGCCACUUCCUUCGGCAUCCCCGGGGGCAGGGGCGCGGGGAAGAACAGGGUUUGUCUGCGGUUCUCGACCCUCAGCCAGACCUCCACUUUGAUGCGCGCUCUUCCAGGCUCCUGUUGGUCCCACUCGCCAGGAGUUAGGUCUCGGGUCAGCCUGAGCUCCCGAUACGCCCAGGCCCGGAAGGACACGUAGGGGAAACCGGCUGUUCACUUCGGUCCUUUCCCUUUUCUGACGGGAAAGAAAGGCGGCGUCUUGUCCUGUCCUGUUGGGUAGGCGGAAGAGAGAAGCUCAGGCUGACCCGAGACCUAACUCCUGGCGAGUGGGACCAACAGGAGCCUGGAAGAGCGCGCGCACCGGGGUGGAGGUUCAGCGCCCGGGGUCGAGAACCGCAGUCAAACCCUGUUCUUCCCCACGCACCGCGCCCCUGCCCCCGGGGAUGCCGAAGGAAGUGGCCCAUAAAAUUUCUCUGCAACCGAAAGGGGCCUGAAGCUUCAAGACGGGCGAGGAGCCUCGUUGAGGCAGACCCAGCCCUCUGCCUGGCUGGCCCUGGUCGCUUAGGCUCCCAGAGUGGCAGUUGGAGGACAGAACGGAAGAAAAGACCUAAAGGUUUCGAAUCUCAUGAUUUGGAGAUGUUAAAAGCCUCCGAUCCUAAGGUCGGACUGUGCCGGGGAGCGAGGGUGUCUCGAGCUGGAUCGAGCCCUGAGCCUUCAUCUGGAGAGUCCUCUGCACAAGUUCAGAGAGCACGGCAACCCGCAGCAAUGGUUCUCAAGAGGGGGCAACUUCGCCCUUACACGCCUCUCCCAUCCUCGCUGGGACACUAGGCCACGACU